CCACAAGCAGGACAGGGGCCCAGAGAGCCCCCAACCCAGGCGACGCGAAGCUGGCGGCUGACAGGUGGGCCCAGUUUUGUCCCAGGUCUGUAGCCUACACGACCUGAGAAUGAGGCCCUAGGCCCCGCAGAACAGCGGCUUCAAACAUUCGUCGGCUUCAAAACCACCUGGAAGCUCGCUGGUUAAACUUCCACCCCCAGCGUUUCUGAUCCAACAGGUGCGGGAGGGGCCCAGGAAUUUGCAUCUCUAACAAUUUCCAGGUGAGGCCGCUGCCGGCUGAUCCAGGGACCAAACUUGGAGAACCAGGGCUUUAGAAAUGCUGUGAAUUUGGCCCAGUAUUACCUUGGUAGAGAGCAGUUUGGCUGGAGCAGCUGUGGCCUGUGUCAAGCUCUGAACGGAGGUGAGGAAGCAAGACUGGAAGCAAAGCAGAUUAUCUCCCGAGAAGUUCGGGGAGAGAAAGAGAGAGCAAGGAAGAGAGGAGAGAUA